rnacentral:misc_RNA from 1 species
GAUGAAGAACGCAGCGAAAUGCGAUACGUAAUGUGAAUUGCAGAAUUCAGUGAAUCAUCGAGUCUUUGAACGCACAUUGCGCCCCCUGGUAUUCCGGGGGGCAUGCCUGUCCGAGCGUCAUUGCUGCCCUCAAGCACGGCCUGUGUGUUGGGCCUCCGUCCUCCUCCCGGGGGACGGGCCCGAAAGGCAGCGGCGGCACCGCGUCCGGUCCUCGAGCGUAUGGGGCUUCGUCACCCGCUCUUGUAGGCCCGGCCGGCGCUUGCCGACACAUCAAUCUUUUUUCCAGGUUGACCUCGGAUCAGGUAGGGAUACCCGCUGAACUUAAGCAUAUCAUAAGCGGAGGA